UUAUUAAUGUAAAGUUUAAAAGUCAAAGUAGUAUUAGUUAUGAUCUUGAAAUUUAAAAAUUUAGGCGGUAUUUUAGUCUAUUUAGAGGAACCUGUUCUAUAAUUGAUAUUCCACGAUAAAAUGUACUUAAAUUAAUUAGUUUGUAUAUUGUCGUUAUUAAUUAUUUUAUAAGAAAUUUAAUAAUUAAGAUUUUUAAUAAAAAAAUUAAUCAGAUCAAGGUGCAGUUCAUAUUUAAGAAGAAAUGGGUUACAAUAAAUUUAUUUAUAUGAAUUUAUUUAUUUAAAUAUUUAAUGAAGGAGGAUUUAAUAGUAAUAAAAUU
rnacentral:rRNA from 1 species